rnacentral:rRNA from 1 species
GACGAACGCUGGCGGCGUGCUUAACACAUGCAAGUCGAGCGGAAAGGCCACUUCGGUGGUACUCGAGCGGCGAACGGGUGAGUAACACGUGAGUAAUCUGCCCUUGGCUUUGGGAUAGCCACCGGAAACGGUGAUUAAUACCGGAUAUGACCACUUCUCGCAUGGGAUGGUGGUGGAAUGUUUUGCGGCCAGGGAUGUGCUCGCGGCCUAUCAGCUUGAUGGUGAGGUAAUGGCUCCCCAUGGCUUCGACGGGUAGCCGGCCUGAGAGGGUGACCGGUCACACUGGGACUGAGACACGGCCCAGACUCCUACGGGAGGCAGCAGUGGGGAAUAUUGGACAAUGGGCGGAAGCCUGAUCCAGCAACGCCGCGUGAGGGAUGACGGCCUUCGGGUUGUAAACCUCUUUCGCCUAUGACGAAGCGAUCCUUUUGGGUGAGUGACGGUAGUAGGUAAAGAAGCACCGGCCAACUACGUGCCAGCCGCCGCCGUAACAC